ensembl:lncRNA
CUGGAUAUCACAGGUGAGGUCUUCAGCUGCUGUGAAUCUAAAACCAGCUGUGUUGGCUCGAUGGUGAUUUUCAUCAGCAGAGACGUGUGCCUGCAGCUUUCCCUAGUGAACCAGGGUCCAAUUUGGAGAAAUGGAAAGCAAGAUACCUUUGGGAUCUUGGGCUACUGGAAGAUUAUGAACCCCUCCACUGGUGUGUUUAUUUCUGAUCAGGUAUUAAUGCUACAUUACUAAAGACCAAAGACCUACUUGCUUCUUCCGACUCUCCCAUGAAAAUAUUUUAUACAGGCAACUCUCAUCUGUUGUACAAGUACUUAAAGAGAGCUUGUGAAGAAGGUGAAUUUAGGAGCAAUGAGUCUGAAAUGAUCUCCAUAAAGAUCCAGAUCCCUGUGAGAGAGACGGAGAAACUGCAGCAUGCUUUUCUUGAUUCUCUUCACAUCUUCUGCUUCCCAAUGUGUGUGUGUGCAAGCUCUGUAGGCAAAUGAAGAAUAGUCAUCUGGCAGAAUCAGCAAGUCAUUGGGCCCACCUGUGCAUCUCCUGAAGGCAAAAUGCUGAUCUGGUGUAAGUCUUGUCUGACUGUCUUUGAAGGAUGGCUACUAUAUUACAUUGAAAUAAAAGCAGUCUAGAUGAUCCUUUGCUGGAGCUGGCUGGACACAGCAGAAGAACUGUUAGAAAAAUUGCUUUUCUGAAUCCUUCUAGAGGUGAAGCACUGGGACCUGGAGGUAUUGAGUUGCCCAGGGUCACGUGGGUUGUGGCAAAGGUGAGAGCUGAACCUGUGGUCCUAUGUGCUGAUCAAGGAGAGCUCCAAAAUGGAGUUUUAUAAAUAUGGAGAGGCUUCAAUUUAACAUAAAAACUAAUAAAAUGAAAAGAAAAGAGCUUGGGAAUGAGGGAGGAGGGAGAAGGAUGUGUACGACUGUGCCUCUCACAGUCAGGCUGUUCAAUGACUAAUAACAACUGGCCUUCACUGGAAUGCUCCAGGGAAUGUCUUAUUCCAUCCCAAGCCACUUAAAGAGCUAGUUAAUCUUAGAAAACCCUGAGCCUAUAAUCUAAUGCCCAAAUAACAACAUUUGGCAUUAAGUCACUGUGAGGGGAACACAUAUGUAUAUGCGUGUAUAUUUACAAAUAUAUACAUAUAUAGUGUUUUACUUGUUUAACCUACAUCUAUAUGUAUAUUUAAUAACUCAUGCACACACACACCCUGCCCUGUCUUAAAAUAAUAUGACUGAGUUAGGAGUGGGGGCCUACCAUUGCAGCCUGGAAACACAGCUGAUUUAGAAGGUGUCAUUAACAUUUUAAACAAAAAAAAUGUUUCAUUUAGAUUAAUAUUUUGAAAAGCUGUGCUCAAGUAGAAAGAGUCAAAGAAAAGCACUUAAACAUUGGCAGAAUGUCCUAAUUUUACCAUAUGCAGAAUAAAAUACUGUUUUCUUUUGAUUUCAUGCCUUUUUUCCCCCCCAAAAUGAAAUAACUUUUCUACAUAAACUUUAGAAAAGAAUAGAGGUUGAUAUCAAAUUUAAAGUAUUUGAAAGUUGGCUAAUUUUCUCUUUUAGUCUGCGGAAAGAAAAAAGACAAAAGAGUUUGCAUGCAAAAAGUUAUAAAAGAGGUGCACAAAAAAGGAAAAUUUGAUUCCCCUAGAUAAGAAAUAUAUUUCCUUUUGCCCCCAUGAUUCAGCUCCUUGGCAUAAAUGCAUUCUGACAGAUAUAAUACAUUUUCGAUCUCACAAAUCACGUUAUUCAAAGCACAGAAGGACCUGCAGCAGAGGUGAGCAGAGUAAGGAUGUGGAGAUCUUAUUACAGCCUAUGGGAGGAGAGUUUUGUUUAAGGACCUUGCAGGUAUGCUGGUUUGCAUCAGUUUGGUAGAAGUUGUUGGUUAUUGCAUGCUUCCCACUAUGGAGGGACCCUGAAGAAGCUGAAACUCUUCCACUGAACGAUGUGGUGUUGUCCUGAGAAAGGACACUGGAAAAUGGCCUAAGAUUGAGGAACCCAAAUUGGCUACCACUUGUCAACAUAACCAUUCAGUCUUCCUGUGGGGGAAAAUGUGGCCAAUAGAACCUUCUCACAGAAGUGUUACAGAGAGAAAGACAAACAUUUUCAGUGCCUUCAGGUGCGGGAGUGAUGGGCAUUGCAGGAAUGCCCGUUUGGAAAUGAAUCUUUCUGUCUGGGGGCAAAACUGGGAUAAUGCACAAAAAAAGUUGUCCUGAGGGUGAUGCAUGGAGAAGAAAGAACAAAAUCCAGAACUGUUGAAUACUGAGAGCUCUGUCCAGCCUCUGCACAACUUACUUUAGGCCUUAUGAGAAGAGAAAUGAGGGAGUGCAUAUUUGCAUUUCUUUUGCAGAGUGGAUAUGUGCAGAACAGCAGCUUUAAUCCUGUAACUUCCAAAGUGUUGAAUGCUUGACUUGGAGAUCUGAGUUACAGUUGUUUGAUGUAUUUAUUACUUUUUUUUUUUUUUUUUUUUUUUUUGCAUCUCCUUACACAAACACAUGAGAUAGGCAGCAUAUAUUUACAUAGUGGAUUCAUGAAGUUUUGCUAAAUUACUGUGAAAGUAACACUUUUCAGAUCCCGUUCACUCAUUCUGGGCCCACAAAGUGAACAUCCUGCUUUGCACUUCUGCUGCUGCAGUUACAGGUUUCUCUUCAUUUUCUCUUCCUGCAGCUUUGGCAGCUCUUUCCUGUUUUUAUAUAUUUCCAUCUUUCUCUUGAACUGCCAUUUAAAUGACCUUUCCCAUUCACCCUUAAAAUUCCACCCAACCGAAAAGGAGUCCUGCCUCCAGGCCUGUGACUGUGGCCUCUGUAUCCUUGGACAAUGGGACGGGAAGUAAAAAAAAGGGACAUUCCUGCAGGUCCUCGGUGUGUGGAUAACAAACAGGGCACAGGAGGCGAGCAUGUAAAUCAGAAAUCACUCCAUUAGUUUGUUAAGCAUUUUGGAGUGACACCACACACAUUAGGAGCUGGUGGCCACAAUGGAGGGAUCCCAGCCAUUUGAUAUUCAUGAGAUGGAAGAAGGUUUAAGAAGAGAAAAAGGAAGGGGGAGAGAGGGAUGUGGGCUUUCUAAUGUAAACACCAUUAUCAUUUGAAAAUCAAUUAGCUCCUUGCACUGAGGGAAUGAGGAGACUUAAGGCCCUUUCUGAACUGCUAUUGUGAGCCUGGGUUAUUUACUUUAAUUAAGAGGAGACAGAGUGGAUUAUUGUCUCAAACCAAAGAGUUGGGAAGAGUCAGAAAAUUACACUCUACCUCACUGCACAACAAAGCCGGGGUAAGAGACAGGCUCCAAACCCAGCAAAGUCAGAAAGAAAUUAGCCUUUAAUCUGGAUUUGUCCUACAUAAGGCACAAUCAAAAAGAAGCGAGGUUCGCAGCCUUCUUGCUAAGCACGGAUCUCGAUAUUGCAGUUGCUGUCACUGCCAGUGCUCCUGUUGAACUUUAACAUUUGGUCUGGAAGGGGCUUUUGCCCCUGGAAGGGUUAGAGUUUGAGAACAAACUCUAUUUUGUCCUAAAAUUUGACAGAAUGAAGUGUCAGGUGUUGGGCUGCAGUUCCUCCUGCCUGCUCCAACCCACCGAUGUAGAAAUAUUUUGCUUUAGAAACAAAUAUAUUAAAUUGUUGAUGCAAAGAUGUUUCCUGGAUGACGAUGCUUAUAUUUUUUUGGCUCUUAUUUAAUUCAAACAGCUCGGAUUAAAAGAAAAGGAGGAAAAAAAAAAAAAGGUGAAGAAGGAGGAAAAAAAGAAAAGGAAUUUGGCAAGUGACUAAUCCACAAUAUUGUCUAAUUUGGCAUAUGGAGAAACACCCCCCCGAGGUAUCUAAUACUGAGAUGUUUCAGCACUGCUUUGCAUUGCCCACUCUUACUCUGCAUACUCUAAAUAUGUAUUAAGUCAGUCGAGCAUGGCAGCUGCUGAAGGAGUUGCCACAGCUUACUGGGUAAAUAAUGAUCGCUUUAUAAAUCACCUAAAUGCGUAUCUACCCCAAAGACCAUGGCAGUGGCUUAUGGGAAUUCUGAUUUGCAUUUUUAAAAUUUCCUUGGAUAUAUUUGCAAUUGCUGUGCCUCCCGCUGAUUGCUGUAUGCUCUAGUUUUAAGUUCAGGGCCCAGUUCUUUCAGUUAUGAAUGGAUGAAUCUGGAGUGUCAUCACUGAAAUGAGCAACACAAAGUCAAACUGAGGAAGCAGUCCACUUGACAAGAUUCCACAAGGAAUACCCUGCGAACACAAUUUGGCUCUGACAUCUCUUGUUGGUUUUGCAUUUGGAAUGACUUCAUAAAUAAAUCCUUCAGAGCUGAGAAGCUCCAUUUUUAGGAUGAGCUGCUGUCCCGAUGUAAGAUUGAGGGAAGGUAGAGCCAGACCACAGCUAAAAGAUCCCAGUCAGGCCCUGCACCCCUCUGGAAAAUAUCUUCCCCAUAUCAGUCUUUGGGGUCCAGAUAUACCCUUUUGUUGGCCCAUGGAAGAAAAAAAUACUGUUUUUUCCUAUCUUCUUGACAUACAUCCAAGCUCACUGACUCUUAGCCCUUCACAGAACUGAGACCAUCCCCUGUGCUUUAUCAGCAGAGACAUCUUGGCCUGCAGUGAACUUCAAAACACAUGACUCUAGAAGCAAAUGGAUGAGAAGGCUUUUCAGAGGGCCCUUGGGAAUGAAACACUCAUUACUUCAGGCAGCAAGAAUAAAAUAUGUUUUCGUAUAUGGCUGGUCAGAGCUCUCCCAGGCAUUCAGGGUUCUUUUGUCUGCCUUUCUGUUGCAGUUGGUUCCCUUCUUUCUCACUUGGCCCUGUGAUUAAGCCAGAUCCUUUUCCUGUGAUAGUUAUUCCCUCUCUUCUUGUGUGUCCACCUACAUGCUAUAUUGUUUUCUAGAAAUACCUACCCUGCCUCUGGAGCUCAGAAAAGCACAAAUGUUUCCCAGUUAAGUUAAUGCUUUUUGCGUUUUGGCCUCUCUCUUGAGUUUUUACCUUUUCCAAGCUGGGUCGCUAUCUUAGUUUCAUUGGGAGAGAACUGUUUUCUUCAGAGUGCUUGGUAUGAUGCUAUGUUUUGGUUCUAGGAGAAAAGCAAUGUUGAUAACAGACCAAUGUUUAUAGUUGCUGCUAAGCAGCAUUGUACAGAGACAAGGCCACUCACUUUGAAGGGCCCAGGAAGCUGAGAGGGAACAGAAUUAGGACAGUUGACUUAAACUGGCCAAAGGGAUAUUGCAUACCAUAUGACAUCAUGCAGAUGGAGUUUUGAAGGGGGUGGGAGUUCAUGUCUCUCCUGCUGCUUGUAGGGCUAGCUGGGCAUUCACUGGGGAGUGGUCCUUGUGCAUCACUUGUUAGACACAUUCAUGUGUAUAUAUAUAUAUAUAUAUAUA